rnacentral:rRNA from 1 species
AGCUGGCCACCUGGGAAGUACGGUCGCAACGCUGAAACUUAAAGGAAUUGGCGGGGGAGUACCACAACCGGUGGAGCCUGCGGUUUAAUUGGAUACAACGCCGGGAAUCUUACCGGAGGGGACAGCAGUAUGAAGGCCAGGCUAAAGACCUUGCCAGAUCAGCUGAGAGGAGGUGCAUGGCCGGCGCCGGUUCGUACCGUGAGGCAUCCUGUUUAGUCAGGCAACGAUCGAGACCCGCAGUCUUAUUUGCCAGCAUGCCCUUAGGGGUGUAUGGGUACAAUAAGACGACCGCCAGCGCUAAGCUGGAGGAAGGAGCGGGCUACGGUAGGUCAGCAUGCCCCGAAUCCUCCGGGAUACACGCGGGCUACAAUGGUCAGGACAAAAGGUACCGACCUCGAAAGAGUGAGGUAAUCCACAAACCUGAUCUCAGUCCGGCAUCGAAGGCUGCAACUCGGCCUUCGUGAAGAUGGAAUCGGUAGUAAC